GGUGGGGGGAGAGGGUCCUUCAGCCCAGAUUGUGAGAGGGUGCAGGCCAGGCCAAGGGACCCCACUGGUGCACU
rnacentral:pre_miRNA from 1 species